UACGUAGGGCGCAAGCGUUAUCCGGAAUUAUUGGGCGUAAAGAGCUCGUAGGCGGUUUGUUGCGUCGGCUGUGAAAUCCCGAGGCUCAACCUCGGGUCUGCAGUCGAUACGAGCAAACUAGAGUGUUGCAGGGGAGACUGGAAUUCCUGGUGUAGCGGUGAAAUGCGCAGAUAUCAGGAGGAACACCGGUGGCGAAGGCGGGUCUCUGGGCCGAAAUUGACGCUGAGGAGCGAAAGCGUGGGGAGCGAACAGG
rnacentral:rRNA from 1 species